AGUCCACGCCGUAAACGAUGAGGACCAAGUGUUGGGGGUGAAACCUCAGUGCUGAAGUUAACGCAGUGAGUCCUCCGCCUGGGGAGUAUGCACGCAAGUGUGAAACUCAAAGGAAUUGACGAGGGCCCGCACAAGCGGUGGAGUAUGUGGUUUAAUUUGAAGCAACGCGAAGAACCUUACCAGGCCUUGACAUGGGAUGCGAAGACGCAGAGAUGCGUUGGAGGCAAACAUCCACACAGGUGGUGCAUGGUUGUCGUCAGCUCGUGUCGUGAGAUGUUGGGUCAAGUCCCGCAACGAGCGCAACCCUUGUGGCAUGUUGCUAACAGGAAAGCUGAGGACUCAUGCCAGACUGCCGGUGACAAACCGGAGGAAGGCGGGGAUGACGUCAAAUCAUCAUGCCCCUUAUGGCCUGGGCUACACACGUACUACAAUGGCGGCUACAAAGAGCGGCGAGACAGUAAUGUCGAGCGAAUCUCAUAAAAGCCGUCCCAGUUCGGAUUGGAGCCUGCAACCCGGCUCCAUGAAGUUGGAAUCGCUAGUAAUCGCGGAUCAGCAUGCCGCGGUGAAUACGUUCCCGGGCCUUGCACACACCGCCCGUCAAG
rnacentral:rRNA from 1 species